rnacentral:lncRNA from 1 species
UUUUAUAACAUUUUGAAUAUUGUUUAUUUCAUCCCAAGGGAGAAAGGAAGCCACUGAAGAGUAUCAAGAAAGGAGAGAAUAUUUGGCUGACCCAUUCCCUGCAAAUAAUUAAAAGGAGUAUGAUUUCACUUCUAAUUGGAUUUCUAAGGUCCUACCCUGCCCCCAAGCAACUCAGAGGACUUGGGGAAAGGUGAUUCCACCUCCAUCUCCAGGACUGGGUCCUGAUUUGUCUAGCCCAGUGAUUGACUUAUGGACUUAUGCUAGGCUUUGUCUAAUCAGCAUAAACAUGCUCCUGAGACACUUUAAACCCAAUUGUGGGUAUGGAAUCUGAGUUAUAUGGUUCAAAAUAAAAGGAAAGAUUUAUUUCUUUCGCCAUUCUGGAAGGGAGGAAGAUUUCUCCUUUGAAAGUAAAUACAGAUGGAUAUUGUUUCCAUAGUUAAUGGCAGUUUUCUUGAUCAUGAACUCCUUAUUACCAAAUUCAGACUUAAAUUGAAGAAAGUA